GAUGAACGCUGACGGCGUGCCUAAUACAUGCAAGUCGAGCGAACGGACGAGAAGCUUGCUUCUCUGAUGUUAGCGGCGGACGGGUGAGUAACACGUGGAUAACCUACCUAUAAGACUGGGAUAACUUCGGGAAACCGGAGCUAAUACCGGAUAAUAUUUUGAACCGCAUGGUUCAAAAGUGAAAGACGGUCUUGCUGUCACUUAUAGAUGGAUCCGCGCUGCAUUAGCUAGUUGGUAAGGUAACGGCUUACCAAGGCAACGAUGCAUAGCCGACCUGAGAGGGGGAUCGCCCACAUGGGACCUGAGACACGGCCCGGACUCUAACGGGGGCCACAGGGAGGGAUUCUCCCGCAGUGGGCGAAGCCCGGCGGGACCACGCCCGGGUGAGUGAGAAAGGUCUUGGUAUCUAAAAACUGUUUUAGUGGGGAAAAAAAUAGUUGAAAGAAAUUGUGCACUCUUGCGCGGCCCCUAAUAAGAAACCCAGGCCUACCUACGGC
rnacentral:rRNA from 1 species